AUUUUUUCAGAUGUAUCCAUUAACUCAACCUUCAUGACAACUACAGAAACAACUGCUAUGGGAUGUGAGGCUGUCACGGAGAGCUGCCAGGCGGAAUUCAUGAGGAACGUGGGGAUUCAUGGAGGCAACAAUUAUCUUGUUUGUCAGUGAG